rnacentral:lncRNA from 1 species
GCCACCCAACUCUCCCUGUUUGCAACAUGAGGCCAUCUGGAUCCGUGGUGGACAACACCAAUGCACCACGAUUUACUUGAGCAGCCUUUGUGCUUAUCCCAAAGAGGAGAGGAGAGGAGAGGAGAGGAGAGGAUACUGUUGAGUGCUGCUGCUACGCGACUGUGGGGGCAGUCUUACAGUCUCUAACAAGGGGAAGAACAUUGAUGGACUGAACUCAUUUUAGGUUGCACAAGGCACUGUUAUCCCAUGGAGGAAACAAUCCUGCCCUGUGUCCUGCAAUGAGGAAGCAAUCCCAUUAUUGAUCCUACAAGGUUGCAGAAGAGGCAUUUGCAGAGGAUAAUGCUGCCUGCAAAUGCAUCACAGUUACCAUGGAUGAUGAUGAUGGAUCAAACAUCAUGAGGGGGAGAAGGAAUCCCUCCACACGAGACGACAAAGGAAAUGGAUGCAGACAAAGACACACACAGCAGCAGCAGCGGCGGCAGCAAACGAAGCAAAGGUGAUGACCAUCAGCCACUGUUCUCCUUUUGUCUCCUUUCAUGCUUCAACACCGAUGCCUUUUUCUCCCUCCUCCUUAAGCAUCAUGUGAUCCCAGUUUAUAACGUUAACAGCAAUGUGAUUUGAGAUCUGAACCCAAAAACCUCGCUUCUUCUUCUUCUUCUUCUUCUCUCUCUUCUCUCUCUUCUCUCAAUCUUCUUUCUACCUCGUACUCUUGUCUGUAAUUUGGCCGUACUGUUUUAACAAUGCUAUCCGCCUGCAGAAAAGCUGACCAUACCACGUUGACUUCUUUCUCCCUUCCUUCCCAAGAGAUCAUCAGAGGUUUAAUCUUCCGAGACCACAAGGCUCGAUCACCGACACAUCAACCCGAGAACAGAGUCAGCAUCAAUUAGCUGGACCAAAUCAUCUCCAAAUGCCAUACGGAACUGAUGUCAACUCUCUCGCUAAUCUCCAUCACCGGUCAUCUGAUCAGCAUCUGAAGGUGUCCAGAUAUUUUCCCCAUGAAGAUGAAGAGGAAGCAGAGGAAGACUCCAAACCGUCCUUCCUUUUUACCCAGGCUGUACCCUUCGCUUAUUUACUUGCGAGUGAGAUGUUGCUAUAGGACGACUCCGCCGGCCCCACCCUCACCAACCAGUCACUGGUCCCGCGCCGCCUCUGUGCCCUCUUUCCCUCCCCUGCCCUUAUCCAUGAAUGUGUGUAAAUUGAUGCGGGUGUACUGUAAUGUUACAUGUGAUGGGUUAGAGGACAGUAGCAGUAGUAAGUCCGUAUACGUAUGUGUGUAUGGAUACCUGCAUGCAUACCUGAAGCAUGACAUGGUCAUAAUAAUGGCAAUAAAAUGGGAAGUC